UUAGAGCUUCGGUUUUAACUUUAGUGGCGAACGGGUGAGUAACGCGUGAGGAACCUGCCUUUCAGUGGGGGGACAACAGUUGGAAACGACUGCUAAUACCGCAUGAUGCUUCUGGGAGACAUCUCCUGAAAGUCAAAGCUUUAUGUGCUGAAAGAUGGCCUCGCGUCUGAUUAGCUAGUUGGUGAGGUAACGGCUCACCAAGGCGACGAUCAGUAGCCGGUCUGAGAGGAUGAACGGCCACAUUGGGACUGAGAUACGGCCCAGACUCC
rnacentral:rRNA from 1 species